rnacentral:sRNA from 1 species
UUUUAGCCCUGAUUGAAGUGAAAAUCCUUUUAUGAGCCUUUUCGGCGAAUUAAAAGAUUGUAGCGCAAAGCAGGAAAUAGC